UGCUCAAAUCAAUUUUUUAAAAAACCACUCAUAUCGUUGCCCUCCCCUCCAAUUUCUAACAAGCUCCCAAGUGAUGCUUAUCCUGCUGGUCUGGGCACCACACUGAGGACCUUGGUCAUUCCAGUCCCCUUUCAGGGCUGGGUUAGGGCAGGGCAUGUGGCCUCUGAGAACUUCCUUAUUCCUAUAGAGAACAACACAGGAAGGAGCGGAUGCCUUUCCUGAAGGACAUGGCUGUAUCUAGAUGAUGCCCGCAGCUCUCAGCAGCUGUGGGGGCCGAGUUUAUCCCGAAGAAGGCAGAGCAGAAAGAGGAAGAACUGGGGUCUCUAAACACCAACCUGGAGCAGCCCUAUCUUGGAGCUUCUUGUUAGUGAGGGCUGAGAAAGAGAAAGGGGAAAAAACCAACAAAUGUCCUUUGAUGAAAAUAAGAG